AUUGAACGCUGGCGGCAUGCCUUACACAUGCAAGUCGAACGGUAACGCGGGGCAACCUGGCGACGAGUGGCGAACGGGUGAGUAAUGCAUCGGAACGUGCCUGGUAGUGGGGGAUAACUGCUCGAAAGAGCAGCUAAUACCGCAUACGACCUGAGGGUGAAAGGGGGGGUUCGCAAGACCUCUCGCUAUCAGAGCGGCCGAUGUCGGAUUAGCUAGUUGGUGGGGUAAAGGCCCACCAAGGCAACGAUCCGUAGCUGGUCUGAGAGGACGACCAGCCACACUGGGACUGAGACACGGCCCAGACUCCUACGGGAGGCAGCAGUGGGGAAUUUUGGACAAUGGACGCAAGUCUGAUCCAGCCAUGCCGCGUGCGGGAAGAAGGCCUUCGGGUUGUAAACCGCUUUUGUCAGGGAAGAAAUCUUCUGGGCUAAUACCCUGGGAGGAUGACGGUACCUGAAGAAUAAGCACCGGCUAACUACGUGCCAGCCGCCGCGGUAACAC
rnacentral:rRNA from 1 species